UCCCUGGUAGUAUAUCGGUUUAGUACACGCGCCUGUCAUAAAUAUAUAUGCAUACGCGCGAAAGCUGGGUUCGACUCCCAGCCAGGGAG